GUGCUCAUUUUGGCAGCACAUAUACUAAAAUUGGAACGAUACAGAGAAGAUUAGCAUGGCCCCUGUGCAAGGAUGAUACAAAAUUUUAUACCCUUUAAAUUAUU